CCCUGAAAGGUCAGAAGGCCGUCUUAUUCUCAAUAUGCAUUUUAUUUUAUUACCCAAUCUGCUCCUGACAUAAAAUAAAUCUCCAAAAAUUAAAUUCUGGCCCUCAAACCCCACAGCAGGACUUAAUUAACCUCACCUUCAAGGUGUACAAUAAUAGAGUAGAGGCAGCCAAGUAGCAACAUAUUUCUGAGUUGCAAUUCCUUGCCUCCACUAUGAGACAAACCUCAGCCAAUCUCCUGCACACAAGAACUCCAAACACCUGAACCGCAGCUGCCAGGGGUUCCGCCAGAACCUCCUCCCCCAGGAGCUUGUUACAAGUGCCAGAAAUCUGGCCACUGGGCCAAGGAAUGCCCACAGCCCGGGAUUCCUCCUAAGUCAUAUCCCAUCUGUGUGGGACCCCACUGAAAAUUGGACUGUUCAACUCACCUGGCAGCCACUCCCAGAACCCCUGGAACUCUGGCCCAAGGCUCUCUGACUGACUCCUUCCCAGAUCUUCUCGGCUUAGCAGCUGAAGACUGACGCUGCCCAAUCGCCUCGGAAGCCUACAGGAUCAUCACAGACGCUCUGGGUAACUCUCACAGUGGAGGAGCCCUGCAAGAAUCCAAGUAAAUAAAGCUAAACCUUCACUACUGAAAACCAGCUUCUAGGUAACUCAUGUAUCAUACACCUUAUAUCCUUGCAUGGAUUCCCCAAAUCUAGUCUCUGAGGGCUUGGAUCUUCCUCUGAUAGUUCUACUUCAUUCUGUCAAAGAUCCAAUUCCCGAAAGAGUUUUUUUCAUCAUCUUCAAACAUCCAGCCCUCAGUGUAUUGGAUGAUACCUGCCAAUACUGGAAAGGCCAUGUGACCACACACCAAGAAGCUAGCUGUCUGCCAGCCAGGAAGAGAGCCCUGACCAGUAAUCAAAUUGGCUGAAGACUUGAUCUUGGACUCCUUGUCUCCAGAAAUGGCUGCUGUAGUAUCCUAGGGGUCUACUCCAGUCCCUGGUUACCUCGAAUUUUCCAGUCCCUGGAUGUCUCACCAGUGAAGGUUGUGAAACAGCAAAAAUGGCAGCCUGCACCCUCCUCUGGGAGCUCCAUCCCAAGAAGAUGUUGGCACUUCUUAGGAAGGAGCCAUCCAUGUCUGAAGAGAAGAAAUGAUAAUUAACUUCAUCAUGUGGAAAGCUUUAGAAGGAAGUAUCUUGUCCUUCUGUCCAAACCCGCCUCCUCCUUACCACCCCCAAUAAAAAUAAAAGCCAAACAAAUAAAACAUUAGCAGUAGCUCUGAGUUUCUUCCUUUCACUUUUUCUCUCUCUUCAUGCCUUUUCUCCUCCAUUCCUUCCUUCUUUCAAAUCAUUUUUACUAGUUUAAGAGAAUAAUUCAAUCUAUAUUUAGAAAUCAGACUUAAAACUUCAAAAAUUAUACUGAAAUAGCUUCCCCUUAAAGGGUGAAACAGUCAUGAUAAAAAUAACAACCGAUAGAAUAAAAUAAUAUAAAAUUAGCUGAGUUUAUAGUUUCUUUUACACCUCCAUAAUUUAUGUGGAUUUGGAAAUACAGACAGUAUACUGAAAACUAAGAAGUUUUCUAUGAAUUAUGAGAAUUUGCAAUCCACAUAGGCUUAAGUCUAAUGUUAGAAGAUAAAACAAAUUGACCUUAAAUAACUUUCUGACAUAACCUCCCCAUUUCAUGGAUGAAAAACCCUAAAGCUCUCAUAAGUAAAGUGAUUUACUUCAGGACACAAACUAGUUGAUUUAGUUUGGAUGUUUGUCCCCUCCAAAUCUCAUGUUGAAAUGGAAUCCCCAGUGUUGGAGGUGGGGCCUGGUGGGAGGUGUUUGUGUCAUGGGGCAGAUCCAUUAUCCUUAUGAGCUGCUUGGUGCUAUCCUUGUGAUAGUGAGUGAGUUCUCAUGAAAUCUGGUUGUUUAAAAAUUUGUGGCACCUCCCCACCAGCCUUGCUCCUGCUCUUGCGGUGUGAUAUGCCUGCUGCCUCUUCACCUUACACCGUGAUUAUAAGCUUCCUGAGGCCUCACCAGAAGCAGUU
rnacentral:lncRNA from 10 species